CCUGGGAACCGCCAUAUGCCACGGGUGCGGCCCUAAAAAGCAAAAAGAAAAGGAUGAUUUGAUGGGAGUCCAGUGUAAGUUGGUACUUGGAAAAGUCACCCUGAGAGACAUGCUCCUGAGUCUGAAGAGCCGGGUCAGUUGGAUAAAAGGUGGAGGAAGAGGCCAGGGAAAGCACGGGGAACUGGAGAGGGAGACCCCAUUUAGCUGGAGACCAAAGUGUACCCUGAAACUGAUCUCCAGUGGAAAACAUCAGAGCAGUGGUGGUUUGUGUGGAGGCUGGGCCGGCCUGGAAGGGACUCAACGGAAUCUCUCAAGAGUGACGGGAAAAUCCCUUGAUUAGGGUGUUGAUUACAUGGAUGAACACGUUUAUCAAGUCUCAGAGAAGAGUUGUGCAUUCUGCUGCAUGUAAAUUACAUGUCAAAACGAAAAAGAGUCCUUGGUUUGUGAGAGCAACAGUGACCUGGGAAAGGCUAGCUGGCUCCUCAGGCUGAUUCUGCAGGCCAAGGUGUGCGGGGCAUCCUCUAAGAAGAGGGUGGAACCGGCUGGGAGAAGGCGACCACAAGUCGGUGUGCGGGCAAGGGAGGGUGGAGGUGAGCCGUGCCGCUCACAGCCGGGACAGAGGAUGCAGGUUCAGGCCCCCCACCCAGGUUGUCAGGGGCAACCUUGGAGUUGCACCCCUCGCCCCGCCCUUCGCGCCGAGGCCAGGUGGCGGUUGGGGCGCGACCAGCCCGUUUGAUUUCCCGCGGCCGGUGGAAAGGGGCGGAGGGGGGAGGGGAAAGAGGCCGUCGGCCAAUGGGUUGGGCUGGGGAUCGUCACGUGGCUGCCCCGGGGCGGGGCCCAGGUGUACUUACAAGGCGGCGGGCGGGGGCCUCGGCCUCCGCGCGAAGUCCGGGAGGCGGGGCCGGCGUGCGGGCCCGGGGGGGCUGCUCCGCUAGGAUUGGCUUGUGGCCGGGAGGCGGGGCUUGCGCGAGCCGCGGCUGCUGGUUGCUAUUGGCCUCGGUUCAGGGCCGGCUGCCGGCGUGCGGGCGAGGCUCGGGGCGCGAGGACCGAGCGGGGCGGCGGGUUCGCGAGCCGGGGGGAGGGGCCGGGGCGGUGGCGGCGGCGGCGGCGGAGGAGGAGGUGGCGGCGGGGGCCGGUACUGGACCCGGCGGGAUGAGCGAGGCGGAGGCGGCAGUGGUGGCGACAGCGGCCCCCGCGGCGACGGUGCCCGCGACGGCGGCAGGGGUGGUAGCGGUGGUGGUUCCGGUGCCCGCAGGGGAGCCACAGAAAGCAGGCGGCGGGGCAGGCGGCGGUGGGGUCGGAGCCGCCUCGGGCCCCGCUGCUGGGACCCCCUCGGCGCCGGGCCCCCGCACCCCUGGCAACCCGGCGACGGCGGCCUCCGGGACCUCCGCGCCCCCGGCCCGGAGUCAGGCGGACAAGCCGGUGCUGGCAAUCCAAGUCCUGGGCACUGUCAAAUGGUUCAACGUGCGGAAUGGUUACGGAUUCAUCAACAGGAAUGACACCAAGGAGGAUGUCUUUGUUCACCAGACAGCUAUUAAAAGAAACAACCCCAGGAAGUUUCUGCGCAGCGUUGGAGAUGGCGAGACCGUGGAGUUCGAUGUCGUGGAAGGAGAGAAGGGCGCUGAAGCUGCUAACGUAACUGGGCCUGGGGGGGUGCCAGUGAAGGGCAGCCGCUAUGCCCCCAAUCGACGUAGGUUCCGCAGAUUCAUCCCCCGGCCCCGCCCAGCUGCCCCACCACCCAUGGUGGCUGAGGCCCCAUCAGGCGGGACCGAACCGGGCAGCGAAGGGGAGAGAGCCGAGGACUCCGGGCAGCGGCCCAGACGACGGCGCCCACCACCCUUCUUCUACCGCCGGCGCUUCGUGCGAGGCCCUCGGCCCCUGAACCAGCAGCAGCCCUUAGAGGGCACCGACGGGGUAGAACCCAAAGAGACAGCCCCGCUGGAGGGGGACCAACAGCAGGGAGAUGAGCGAGUCCCUCCACCCAGGUUCCGGCCCAGGUACCGAAGGCCUUUUCGCCCCAGACCACCCCAGCAGCCCACCACAGAAGGCGGGGAUGGCGAGACCAAGCCCAGCCAAGGUCCCACGGACGGUUCCCGGCCGGAGCCCCAGCGCCCACGAAACCGCCCCUACUUCCAGCGGAGACGGCAGCAGCCCCCUGGACCCAGGCAGUCCGCAGCCCCGGAGGUAGGGACCUGGGACCGGCCGGCGGGGGUGUGUCAGGGGGAGACUGAGGCCGCUUCCCUCUCGCCCUUCUUUCCCUGCUUCUGUCUUCUUUUCCCUGCUCUUCUCUUCCCACCCUCUGUGUCCCCCUCUUCUCCUGGCCCUGCUCCACCCCCCGCCUUUCACACAGCCUGACACCCAAAGGCUGGCACUGUGGGGUCUCGCCGUGGCGGGCACCCCACCCACCAAGAAACCCCAGCAGAAGCAGCCAAACCUUGUCACCCCUGCAGCAGCUCGUGGAUGUGAACUGGGGGAGGGAGGGGAAGAGGAGGGGGAGGAGGUUGAAGCAGGGGGGCUCCGGAGGCCGCGGGGGGGGUGGUCUUAGUCAUCCGCACUUGUUCUCUCUAGACCUCAGCCCCCAUCAACAGUGGGGACCCCUCAACCACCAUACUGGAGUGAUUCCAACUUGAAGGACACCCAGAGCCACCGUCUGGUAUAUGCCAGUUUUUCCAACUGACCUGUAUCCUACCCAGCACCUCCUCCCCUUUCCCAUAAUCCAUGACAUCAAAACAACGGCUUUCCCCCUUUUCCUCGAGACUCAGGAGGGCCAAAGCAGCAGCCUCUUGCCUUGUUUCUCUCUCCCUUAGCAAGGGCUGAAGGGAGGGCUCCGUCCUUAGUGUUCAGAGGCACCAACUCCCUCCCCUCGAUCAGGCUGAGAAGGAACCAGCCAGCUCUUACCUCCUCCUGGUUGUUUUUCUUUCCCACCCCAGUUUAUUUUUUGUUCCCCCGCUACCCCCUACCUCUGAAGCCAUUUUAUGAACCGUCAUGUGCCACCUGAGCCUCCAGUAAAAACAAAAACAGGCUUUCCUGUCG